CAGUAGCCGCGGUAAUACAGAGGGUGCGAGCGUUAAUCGGAUUUACUGGGCGUAAAGCGUGCGUAGGCGGCUUCUUAAGUCGGAUGUGAAAUCCCUGAGCUUAACUUAGGAAUUGCAUUCGAUACUGGGAAGCUAGAGUAUGGGAGAGGAUGGUAGAAUUCCAGGUGUAGCGGUGAAAUGCGUAGAGAUCUGGAGGAAUAUCGAUGGCGAAGGCAGCCAUCUGGCCUAAUACUGACGCUGAGGUACGAAAGCAUGGGGAGCAAACAGGAUUAGAUACCCCAGUAGUCCCUGUCUCUUAUAC
rnacentral:rRNA from 1 species